rnacentral:rRNA from 1 species
UACGAAGGGGGCUAGCGUUGUUCGGAAUCACUGGGCGUAAAGCGCACGUAGGCGGAUUGUGAAGUCGGGGGUGAAAUCCUGAGGCUCAACCUCAGAACUGCCUUCGAUACUGGCAAUCUCGAGUCCGGAAGAGGUUGGUGGAACAGCUAGUGUAGAGGUGAAAUUCGUAGAUAUUAGCUAGAACACCAGUGGCGAAGGCGGCCAACUGGUCCGGUACUGACGCUGAGGUGCGAAAGCGUGGGGAGCAAACAGG